GAUGAAGAACGCAGCGAAAUGCGAUAAGUAAUGCGAAUUGCAGAAUUUCCGUGAGUCAUCGAAUCUUUGAACGCACAUUGCGCCCCCUGGCAUUCCGGGGGGCAUGCCUGUUCGAGCGUCAUUAACACCACUCAAGCUCAGCUUGGUAUUGGGUCACGCCAGCAAUGGUGAACCUCAAACUCAGUGGCGGCACCGUUGGGUCCCGAGCGUAGUAAAUAUCUCGCUGAGGGUUCCCUCCGGUUGGCGACCAACAACCCAAUUUUCUAAGGUUGACCUCGGAUCAGGUAGGAAUACCCGCUGAACUUAAGCAUAUCAAUAAGCGGAGGA
rnacentral:misc_RNA from 1 species